UAUCCUGAAGCUAAAGUUUAUUCGAGUUAUGAGUUGUGAUCUUCAUAUUUUUCAGAAAUUUGAUAUGAUGAUUUUUAUUUGGUAAUUUCGGACUGAUUUUAUGACUUCAUUUUGAUUGAUCCAGAACAGCUGGAGCUGCGAAAAUUGAAGUGUGAAGCAAAAGUUUCAACUAUGCGGUGUUUGUUAUUUUUUGGCUAUAUUUUGAAUAAAUAUUUUUUGUUAAAACUUAUGUUCGAAAUUUAAUUUGAAUACUGAGAUUGUAAUUUGAGAGUUGAGACUAUUUGUUAUACAAAUUAUUAAUGCUUUUUGGUUAUUACUAUACUUUAAUAUUUCAAUUUAUUGUAGUAUUUAGUUGUGAAUUAAGUAUUUUAAUAUUAAUUGUAAUUGCCGCUAUAAGCUUUAUUUAUCAAUUAUUUAGUAUAUUUGUUGUGGCAAUUAUAAUUAAUUAUAGCGGCAUUUAUAAUAGUUGUUAUUGUAUAGUAUUUAGCGGCAUUUAUAAUAGUUGUUAUUGCAUACUAUUUAGCGGCAUUUAUAAUAGUUGUUAUUGUAUAAUAUUUAGCGGCAUUUAUUUAGAUUUUUACCAACCGCCGGAAUAAAUGCCGCUAAAACUUUUAGCGACCCUACCAAUAGCGGCAAUUAUCGUAAUUGCCACGGAAUCAUUUAGCGGCAAUUAUAAUUGCCGCUAAUUUAAAAAAUUAUCGCCGCUAAAACUUAAUUUUGUUGU
rnacentral:lncRNA from 1 species